CCCCCUCCAACUUUCUCUCCUAGCUUCGACCCAUCCCUGUCCGGUGUACAAAUAUCUGAAAGUUAGGCUGUCUUAUAGCAUCCAUGCUCGCCGGAGUGAAAUGGUAAACAAAUUUCAAAUCCAAUUUGUAGACAAAUCCGUCUCAAAUUCGCACUCAAAACAAUAUGUUCCAAAUUUUCAUGAACAAAAAAACACAGAAAAACAAUUUCAGAAUUUUUCGGAACCCUGGGGGAUGUAUUUAUAGCCGGAGGAGACUAUGCAAAUCAUGUUUAAAGGGGUUCUCGAUUGAUAAACCCAAAAGGACGCCAACUUUACAAUACUAUUUUAAAUAAACGUAAUAAUGUAAAGUGUAUUUCUCCAGGUAAACCCACUGAUUGGAGAAAAAUACCUGACUUAGUAGACGUUUCAAGGAAAAUCGACCGCCAAUUUGUAUCAGCUAUGACUGUUGUUGGCCUAACCUCUGACCACUUGCUAAUUUUAAUAAAAAUUUACGAGAAAGCGGUGAUAGUGACCCAAGAACUAAGACUAACAAGCAAAAAACAAACUGGCUAAGAUACAAAAAAAUGUUUAGUAGUCACAUUAACAUCAGCCCUAUAUUGAACAGUGAAAACGAUAAGGAUGAAUUUAUUAAGGACUUCAAUAACGGUUAAAACAUCAACCCUGGAAGUUGUAAAUGCGACUCAGCAAUUGAACCCAAAGAAAUCUCCAGGCUAUGACCUUAUUACACUGAAAUGUAAAAGAGCUACCAAGUGUUGCACUACCACUACUCUCUGGACUCUUUAAUGCCACUAUGAAACUAAGUCACUUUCCAAAUGCGUGGCAAAAGUUGCAGAUACUAAUGAUAGCCAAACCAGGAAGAGACCACCCACAGACGUCUUCUUACAGACCAAUAAGCCCUGCCCUUUCAAAUUAUUCGAUGGAAUUUUGCUAUCAAAGAUAUCUCCUUUUCUCCCAUUCGGUUUUCGUGAAAAACAUGGUACUGUAGAACAAGUCAACUUAAUUACUAAUGAAAUUAGGAAGGCAUUCGAGGAGUAUUGCUGUGCAAUAUUUCUUAACGUAGCACAAGCGUUCGAGAAGGUUUCACAUAAAGGCCUACAACAAAAAAUUUAUAAAACUACCUAUCCAAUUCUACAAUAUACUGUCUACCGUGAUACAAUCGGAAUUUAUCACUGAAGAGUUUCUAGUAAAUGCUUUUGUACUUCAAGGUAGCGUUCAUAUACACUGCAGAUAUCCUAGUAAAUCGAAAUGUACAAACAUCUACUUUCGCGGACAACACAGCCAUAUUAUGCCGUAAUAAAUGUCGUAGAAAUGUAUCAAAAUCGAUUGGGGACUAAUUAAUUCUUAUCGAAGAAUGGUUGACAAACUGGAGAAUUAAAGUCAAUGAGCAAAAGUCUAAACACGUUACAUAUACAUUACGCCCACAAAUAUGUCCUGCAAUUAGAUUAAAUGGUAUAAAUAUUCUCCAAGAAUCGGUGGAAGGCCCACCUGGAAAAUACGUAUAUGUGCCAAAAUACUAGCAGCUAGCUAAAAUUGACUUUUACAUAGGAACUCUAGGAUAAAACUAGAUUAGAAAAUACUCAUCUACAAUGCAAUUAUAAAGCCUAUUUGGAUGUAUGAUAUUCAAUUCGUUUAGAAAUUUCCGACUGCAUCGACGAGAUGUUCCCGCCUUCUAAGAAAAGCGCCAUAGUUCGAAAAGGGCUCGGAGUUAGCUCGAGCUAACACGUUUAUUUUAAUUUAGGUUUAAGAUUUGUAAACUUACUGUUAGGCUUUGAGCAUAUUCAAUAAUUGAAAAAGAUUGUACCCAAUGUAUUAGGGAUCACACCAAACUUCGUCCGCACUCACAGCUUGCACAAUUAUAAAAGGAACUGAAAAUGAUCGUUUAUUUAGUUGCACAAUUUAUAUUAUUUUUCGAAUAAAAUUAAUGUGAUUUUACA